CCCGUAUCUAGCCUCUUUCUUGGUUCCAACUUUACCUGGAUGGUGUUCUUGGCCAAGGCUGGCGUGAAGUCUUGGGAUAAUUGCUGGACUUUGUCAAAGAAGUGGGAGAGACUCGGGAAAGGAGACAUGGGGAGUCUUCAUGAAUGGGACCAUGUCUCUUCCUUUCCUGGGGGCAUAACUUCCAACCUCAUCAAUCAUCCAUGGGAGAAAAUGGGUCAGUGAUCUCAUGCUGUUGUGUGAUAACAUCUGGAUUCUAAGGGAUGGCGAAUGAACAAUACCAGCAUCACCCAUUUCGUACCUCCCACCUUUCAGAAAUGUCUUCCCCCUGCAGGAUCAGAGGACGCUCCACAGAUAAGCGGAUGUCCUGCCAGUCGUGUGGUUCAGGGUCACCAGUUCUUCUGCACAAACAUGCAUGUCCUUCAGACUCUUCCAGUGAUCUGGAAUGAAGCCCACAUAUAGUCACUUAUUCAUAAAGUCAUCAGAAAUAAACUUGAAUAACAGAAAGAUCAUGACUCCUCUCCUAUUUGUCAGAUCAUAUUCCACAAACAAAAAACAGCACAUGUUCUAAUUGCCUCAUGUCUGUUCACUCGGAUUAUUGUGUCAGUCAGCUCUUGCUGUAUAACAGGCUGUCCUUGUCAAAUGGGAUAUUAUACUGAUGCAGGGUGGCUGCAUUAUACUGAUGCAGGGUGGCUGAACACAAUGAUCAAGAAAGAAUUGUUGUGGGACGCCUGGCUCAGUUGUUUAGCGUCUGCCUUCGGCUCAGGUUAUGAUCCCAGGGUCCUGGGAUCGAGCCCCCCAUCAGGCUCCCUGCUCAGUGGGAAGCCUGCUUCUCUCCCU